rnacentral:rRNA from 1 species
UACGGAGGGGGCUAGCGUUGUUCGGAAUACUGGGCGUAAAGCGCACGUAGGCGGCUUUGCAAGUUAGAGGUGAAAGCCCGGGGCUCAACUCCGGAAUUGCCUUUAAAACUGCAUCGCUAGAAUUGUGGAGAGGUAAGUGGAAUUCCGAGUGUAGAGGUGAAAUUCGUAGAUAUUCGGAAGAACACCAGUGGCGAAGGCGACUUACUGGACACAUAUUGACGCUGAGGUGCGAA